GACGAACGCUGGCGGCGUGCCUAACACAUGCAAGUCGAGCGGGGGGAGUACUUCGGUACAAACCUAGCGGCGGACGGGUGAGUAACACGUGGGUAACCUGCCUCAAAGUGGGGGAUAGCCUUCCGAAAGGAAGAUUAAUACCGCAUAACCCAUAGCUUCCGCAUGGAAGCAAUGGUAAAGAUUUAUCGCUUUGAGAUGGACCCGCGGCGCAUUAGCUAGUUGGUGAGGUAACGGCUCACCAAGGCCACGAUGCGUAGCCGACCUGAGAGGGUGAUCGGCAACAUUGGGACUGAGACACGGUCCAGACUCCUACGGGAGGCAGCAGUGGGGAAUAUUGCACAAUGGGCGAAAGCUUGAUGCAGCAACGCCGCGUGAGUGAUGAAGGCCUUCGGGUUGUAAAGCUCUGUCUUUUGGGACGAUAAUGACGGUACCAAAGGAGGAAGCCACGGCUAACUACGUGCCAGCCGCCGCCGUAACAC
rnacentral:rRNA from 1 species